CCGAGAUAAAUUUGGGUCUAGAAGGGAUGACGUAAUGCUAAAUCCGAGAGGUGGCUGCCGCCUCCCAGGGCUCCAGUCGCCAGGGCUGCCGGCUGACAUCCCAACCACACGGAAAAGCACCACGACCCAGGUCUUAGGAAAAGGAAAAAUCAACUCCUCUGCUGGUGAUGACCACAAGCCAUGGGCCCAGCCACACUACCUCAUUUUAAUUAGAAGACCAGCACAGGUCUGUGAGCUUCAGAAAGCCCAGUGGGAAUCUUCAAGCUGGGCCACGGAUCUGACCAAAGCCAAAAUAAACAAUGGCUUGAAGAAAAUCUACAAAAAAGUGCUGAUUUGCACUAUUCCCACAGUCAGCCACAGCCCCCACCAUCAUUCCCAUGGAAAACGCCACUUCUGGUGCCAAGUCAAGCCUUCCCUCCCAUCACAGGGGCAUUGCUUUUUGUUAUUAUGUGAGUUCUUAGCUUCAGACAAUGGCACCACAAGAGACACAGUGGAGGCAGGAGAAAUGCCUUUUUGUUUCACAGAAUCUAGGCUAUUGUGCCCCAGAGUCUCACAUACAGUAGAGUUGCAUACAUUCAUUUUGGUAACGUGUCUUUGGAACAAUGAAUGUACUAAAGCUCAGAGGCUCUUCCUUAUUUUUUUUUCAGAGCCCAUCAAGUGUUAAAUCAUGUGAGCAUCCCUCCUCCCUAACCAUUCCCCAAUCAAUAGAUUUCUCUAAUAAAGUUGGCUCCAAACGUAAAGAGGGGUGUUUCAGAAGUUAUAUCACAGGGCAGACCGAGCUGGGUCACAAGCUCAGUGCCAUUUCUGAUUACCUUUGCUUCCUAGGAGGAGCUGUUCAUGCCCUUUUUCUUUCUCUUGGGCCUUUUUUUUUUCCGUCUGCACUGAGUCUUCAUUGCAGAGCACUGGCUUCUCUAAUUAUGGUGCACGGGGUCCAGAGCGUGCAGGCUCAGUAGUUGUGGCACGCAGGCUUCUCUCUAGUUGCAGCACAUGGGCUUAGUUGCCCCAUGGCAUGUGGGAUUAGUCCCCCAACCCGGGAUUGAACUCGCAUCCUCUGCAUUGGAAGGCAGAUUCUUAACCACUGGACCACCAGGAAAGUCCCUCUCUGGAGCCGUGAUUCCAUAAAUAAACAGGCCUCUUUGGAAACUUGCUGAGCAUAUCUGCAGAGAACAGGGAGGGAAUGAGAAGGCAAUCAGCCUGUAGGAACAUGUGAACUAUGUUAAAGGAAAGCAGUGAAUUUUUGUGGUGCCCAGUCAGGCCAGCAAUGAUGUUCCCAAGAACCCUAAAUGUCUUGGGUGCCCAUUCAGCCUGGGUCACAUUUUCUCAACCUUCUGUUUCUUUGCUUGGCCUAUUUGGCAAUAUUUU